rnacentral:rRNA from 1 species
GAUGAACGCUGGCGGCGUGCCUAAUACAUGCAAGUCGAGCGAACAGACGAGGAGCUUGCUCCUCUGACGUUAGCGGCGGACGGGUGAGUAACACGUGGAUAACCUACCUCUAAGACUGGGAUAACUUCGGGAAACCGGAGCUAAUACCGGAUAAUAUAUUGAACCGCAUGGUUCAAUAGUGAAAGACGGCUUUGCUGUCACUUAUAGAUGGAUCCGCGCCGCAUUAGCUAGUUGGUAAGGUAACGGCUUACCAAGGCGACGAUGCGUAGCCGACCUGAGAGGGUGAUCGGCCACACUGGAACUGAGACACGGUCCAGACUCCUACGGGAGGCAGCAGUAGGGAAUCUUCCGCAAUGGGCGAAAGCCUGACGGAGCAACGCCGCGUGAGUGAUGAAGGUCUUCGGAUCGUAAAACUCUGUUAUUGGGGAAGAACAAAUGUGUAAGUAACUAUGCACGUCUUGACGGUACCUAAUCAGAAAGCCACGGCUAACUACGUG